rnacentral:misc_RNA from 1 species
CACAAAUGCCACCCGAACGCUUUAGAAUCUCGCCCUCUCUCUCCCCCCUGCCCAUCGUCGCCACACAGAGACGGUGGGUCGCUCAUGCUCUCCGAUGGUGGUACGCUUCGAUGGGUGGACGCUAGUGGGGCUCACGGGUUUGGUGGAGUGGACUGUGGUGCAGCCAUCCACCGCCCCCCAACUGGACACCUCGUACACUUCUUCUACCGACGCAUUGCAGCAGGCUCGAACCUACCCGGCCCUCCUCACCGAACUCACGCCCACAGUUUUGACCGGGCGCAGCUCCGCCUCUGUCAGCGCUGCCCCGCUGGUGUACGCUACCGUGUCCUCCCUCGUCGAAAUAGAAAAGAUCGGACCGCGCCAGCUCCGACUGCGACAGGAGCCGUUUGGUGUUCCGGGGACUUACCGUCUGCUGUACUUGACCGCGCCAAGCGCUGUGGCUUGCGAUGAGUGGUGGCGUGCCCUUUACCGCCUUACCGACGAUCAGCGACUCCACACCCGAUCAACCAACGUUCCGGUGGCAGCGGCACCGAGCUUUCACCCUGAUCCGGAGAGCGCACAUCCGUGUUUUGAUGCGGCGGCAUGCCUGACCGACUCCCUGGUCGGACCGGCCCCGGAGGGCUCACAGGAAGUAAGUGAUGUGGCAGAGCUGCGACGAAUGCUGCUCUUCACCCCCUCUUCGCCGUGUUCUGUCACAGCCGGGCGACCAUCGUAUCGUCUGCGAGGCGGCAUGUCCCAGUCAUCGCCGUCUGCCAUCGAGCUACCCGUGAAUGACUUGAGAGCCUCUCGGCUGCUUCUGUAUUCGAAGCCACUGACGCAUGGGACAUCAGGGGCUGGCGGCACAAGGCAGCCAGUGACGGCACUUCCGCCAUCCGACCGCAUGCUCGCUUGUGAUGCCGCUAGCGCCGCGGCUGCCGCGGUCACGGGGACAUCCUCGCCACCGUUUCAAUGCAACUCGGCUCCUGCGCGCAUCGACAUUAUCCCCUCCGUGGAAAAGCCGAUGCCUUCGGGUGUGUCGACAGCUUCCCCGCCGCGACCAAGUGCACUGGUCAAGGACAGUGGUCGUAAGCAUCUUGCGCAAGCGCAGAGGCCGACUUGCACUUCGGUGCUGGAUGUGUCUUUGCCAAUCAAAAGUCUUGUGUCAUCUACGGCUGCUGCGAAUGAAAGUGCAAACCUGCUUGGCACACCUGCAGCUGCAUCGAGGCGGAUCGUGGCUCCUCCGUCUUUGUGCGCGCUUCUCGGAAGCGACACUGAUCUGUGUUCCGGGACCGCGUCUGUCUCCACUGCGUCACACGCUUCCACGGCUUCUAUCAGCGGGGAUGCGGCGGAGAGGGAGGCGGGCGUUUCUCCUCAGACGCUUGUGGCCGCCUCUGCUGCAUCGCCGAAGGAGGAGGAGGCACCAGCAGCUGAAACAGUCGCCCCGCUGCCGUCGAGCGCGUUGCCACGAGAGCGAGUCGAGUCCAACAGGGCCGCUGGCGUCGCCUGGCAUCCCGCUCUCUUACCCCCUGACACCGCCGCGGUGGUGCCCGCUGCGGCGGCUCGUACCUCUUCAACGCCGCCGCUGUGGCAGCGCCCGGUGUUGCCGCGCUUGUGCCUGCGACAAGCACCCCUUCAAGACCCUCCACGAGAUCGAUCUCCGCCGCUUACACGUAGAGGUGCCACAGCUCCUGCGGCACUGCCGUCAUCAGAAGCAGCAGCUCUUGCACAGACCACGACAGCGGGUUGUAUUCUCUCGCGCGUCUCUUCCGCCUACGAGCCAAUUCACGUGGACAGCACCACGGUGUCUCGUGCGCACGGCAGCGGCUGCUCCUCACCGUACCAUCGACUAAAAUAUCCAUCCUCUGCCCUGGACAUCUACCUGCUGCACUGGUACGAGUGUUGCACUUCAUCGCUGACGCCGCGCAUUAUGUACCGCAGCGUGUCGCCCCUGUGGAGGCGGAACAUGGACACAAGGGGCAGUCGCUCCCGCUCUCGAGAGCGUUGCGACUCGGCUGCCACGCCCACGUCCGGGCAACCACGCGGCAAUCGCCAUUGCCGCCGGACCCGAUCUGUCGGUCGUCGCCGAUAUUCCUCGUCCUCGCUGGCUCACCGCUGUCGUUACGUCGGUGCCGCCGAUGCGCCUGCGAUUUCCCCGCUCUUGUCAGUGAUUGCACAGCCACACAUGUUUCUCAAGUAUCCGGUGCGGGUGUCGUCACCUCGUCGCAGCGGCAAAGACGGUGCUGACGGGAACGGAAACGCGACGUACGUUUUCCUUACCCUUGAUGAGGAAUGCGUCGUUGCGGUACCAGCUGCGCGCUUCAACCACUGCAUGGAGGAAGCGAACCUCCUGCAGCAGCACAAAGCCCCUGGUGACAGCGCUAGAGCGGAGCGCUGCCGCUCUGGUACCAACUCCGUGUCGGUCGGGGUGCGCAGCUUCGAGCGGGCCCAGCACUUCUUCGGCGCGGAUUACUGCAGAGCAAUGCCAGUAGCUGAGGUAGAGCGGGUAUCAAGAGGCAACGAAGAGCCCCUGCUGCUCCUCAACGCUGCGCAGCGGGAGCGGUUUCGCGAUCUUUCCAAGAUGAUCUGUAUUGCGGCGCGGACGCACGCUUUCAUACUGGAGGCGGCCAACUCGACAGAUGCGGAGAGGUACGUGGGCAAGUGGAAGAGGUACUUGCGUAGCCUGCGAAUAGCACAGUGAAAGGCCCCACAUGAACGGUAGUAGAUAGCGAGUGUGUGACUUUGUUCGCAUCUUCUCGUCUUUCGGUGCCGCGUCUGCCACCGUUCUCGUAGUGCGUUUGGGUGGACCUGUUGUGGCCGCCGCUAUCCGUGCCGCUCGUGGCGUUUCUCUCGCGCUCGUCACUUUGACGCUUCACAAAGCGAUGACGCUCCCAAUGUGCCCGCGGCUCUCUUUAUCGUGUGUCUUGUCCUCCCGCAGCGCUCUUCUGUGGGCUGUACUUUGUUUGCGUCUUCCAUGCGAGUCGGCUCACUCGCUCAAGUGCCGCCCCAGCGAGGUGUGCGCGCGUGUUUGUGUGUGUGUGUGUGCGCGUUGGGAGGAGGGGAGGGCUGUGCGAGGAUGGCGGUGCCGUGCAUCGACUUUGGCUGCCUCUGUUCCUCUUGUCGCGCUCGCCCUUCUGUGCCUCCAUCUUGCGGUCCCCGGCUGCCAUGCACCACGUCACCCAUCCCUCCCCCUCCCAAACAACGACGCCCUUUCCAGCUUUCCACUCCUUCUGCGUGCGUGCGGGUGCCUUUCAUUGUACACAGCGCCCUUCUUCCCCCCCCCCCCCGAAGGCCCGUAAACAUUUUGAUUCACAAGCAGCGAAAAAAAAAAAACAGAAGAUGGCGAAGGACCGCUCAAAAUAACGGUGAGGACUUUGCACCCAUGUCGUGUGUGCUGCACACAGCCGUGUGAGGGGUGCGCCACCACCCGCCUGAGGGGGCACCUCGCACUAUGGCGCUACCAAUGCGAUGCCCCUGACUCUUUCAGGCUGUCUGCUGCCUCACGUCACCAUCCUCCUCUCCCUUUCCGUCCACCGCCUUCUUCCCGCACAG